AGAUGAGAUUUCCAUCCCUUUUAGGGUGAAGGCUCCCGGCUAGACUACCGGGUUGAUAGGCAGGAUGUGGAAGCGAGGACUAAAGACUCGUGGAGCUGACCUGUACUAAUAAGCCGAUAUCUUGAAAAC
rnacentral:rRNA from 1 species